GCCGCGUUCAUCUAGGGGUCUAGGAUGCCACCCUUUCACGGUGGUCACACGGGUUCAAAUCCCGUACGCGGUA
rnacentral:tRNA from 6 species